rnacentral:tRNA from 1 species
GGUCCUGUGACCCAACGGAUAAGGCGUUGGCCUCCGAAGCCGAAGAUUGUGUGUUCGAAUCCCAUCAGGAUCG